rnacentral:sRNA from 1 species
CCAAAACCCGGUGGAUAAAAU